CAUUAAUAAGUCAUCACAAUGCUAAUGAAAAGAGUGAUGAUAAUGAAUUUAAAUUAUUCUUUCCAAGUUAUUUAAAAGUAAACUAUGUUUCUAUUGAAUGAAAAGUUUGUUACUACAAGGUGGAAUUUUAGUGAAAAUUAUAAUUAUGUAAACAAAAACAAAUCUAUGAUAGAAAGAUUUCUGGGUGGAGAAUUUCUAGAACAAUAAGUAUUGUCAACAACAUG